CUGCAUUCAAGAAAACGACUUCUGCUACAUCCAACAUUGACUUCAUCUUUUAUCCAGAUUUAUGAAAAUAUGUGAAAUUUCCUCUGAUUAACCCCAUACAAUAUAAUCAUCGGUCCGUCUAGAUCAG